rnacentral:rRNA from 1 species
GUGUCAGCCGCCGCGGUAAUACGGAGGGUGCAAGCGUUAUCCGGAUUCAUUGGGUUUAAAGGGUGCGCAGGCGGAUUAUUAAGUUAGUGGUGAAAUCCCGGGGCUCAACCUCGGAACUGCCAUUAAUACUGGUAAUCUGGAAUACGGUUGAAGUGGGCGGAAUGUAGCAUGUAGCGGUGAAAUGCAUAGAGAUGCUACAGAACACCGAUCGCGAAGGCAGCUCACUAAGCCGAUAUUGACGCUCAGGCACGAAAGCGUGGGGAGCGAACAGGAUUAGAUACCCUGGUAGUCCACGCCGUAAACGAUGAUAACUCGUUGUUGGCGACACACAGUCAGCGACUAAGCGAAAGCGAUAAGUUAUCCACCUGGGGAGUACGAUCGCAAGGUUGAAACUUAAAUGAAUUGACGG